rnacentral:pre_miRNA from 2 species
CUGCUUGGUUUGUAGGCAGUGUAGUUAGCUGAUUGUAUCCAUUGCUUCGCAAUCACUAACUUCACUGCCAUCAAAACAAGGCAC